GCUCCACAGCCCAACUCCAGACAAACACAACCUCAGGAUUUCCCCUGCGCCGCCAAGACGCAGCUGCACCAGCAGGUGGCAGUGCGGAGUCGCAGGGUCUCAGGGUCUCACAGUGAAAUUCUGGCUGAACUGGAACUCAGAGAUCUGCCUCUACCUUCCAAGCGCUGGAAUUUAAAGAUGUACCCCACCACACCUAGCUCUAUGGCUUAGUUUCUUGUUUUGUUUCCACCCUGGGUUUCUCUGUUGAACAGCCCUAGUUAUUCUGGGACUCAUUCUAUAAGAUCAGGCUGGCCUCAAACUCACAGAUUCAACUGCCUCUGCCUCUAGAGUGCUGGAAUUAAAGGUGUGUCCCACCAUGCCUACCUUCAUGGACUAGUUCUUAAGAAUCCUCAAAGUGGGGACUGGAGAGCUGGCUCGGUGGUUAGGGCCACUAACUUCCCUUCCAGAAGUCCAGAGUUUGAUUCCCAGCAUCCACAUGGAGGCCCAGCCAUCUGUACUGGGAUCCAACGCCCUCUUCUGCUGUGUCUGACGAGAGCUACAGUUUACUCACAUACAUAAAAUACAUAAAUAAAAA